GCCUGGGUGGCUCAGUAGGUUAAGCGUCCGACUUCGGCUCAGGUCAGGAUCUCACGGUUUGUGGGUUCGAGCCCCGCGUCGGGCU
rfam:Felis catus isolate Cinnamon breed Abyssinian chromosome D4, whole genome shotgun sequence.